AAGUCGUAACAAGGUCUCCGUUGGUGAACCAGCGGAGGGAUCAUUACAGAGUUAUCUAACUCCCAAACCCAUGUGAACUUACCUUUGUUGCCUCGGCAGAAGCUACCUGUACCCUUCUGGGACAGCCUACCUGGACCUACCUGGAACGGCUACCCUGGAUCGACCUACCUGUAGCGCACUGCCGGUGGACCAUUCAACUCUUGUUAUUUUAUUGUAAUCUGAGCGUCUUAUUUUAAUAAGUCAAAACUUUCAACAACGGAUCUCUUGGUUCUG
rnacentral:misc_RNA from 1 species